GACGAACGCUGGCGGCGUGCCUAAUACCUGCCAGUAGGACGCAGUUGCGAACGGGUGAGUAACGCGUAGGUCAAUGCCUAUUAGAGGGGGAUAACUAUUGGAAACGAUCGCUAAUACCGCAUACUAGUAGAUGGACCUGCGUUGUAUUAGCUAGUAGGUAGGGUAAUGGCCUUCCUAGGCGACGAUACAUAGCCGACCGGGGAGGGGGAGCGGACACAAUGGGACUGAGACACGGCCCAGAAUCCUACGUGAGGCAGCAGUAGGGAAUCUUCGGCAAUGGGGGGAACCCUGACCAAGCAACGCCGCGUGAGUGAAGAAGAGGGUCGGAUCGUAAAGCGCUGUUGUUAAGGAAGCGGUACUUAACCAGAAAGGGACGGCUAACGACGUGCCAGGAGCCGCGGUAAUUC
rnacentral:rRNA from 1 species